rnacentral:misc_RNA from 1 species
GUGUUAGCUGCCCUCGCGGGUAGCAAACCUCACCCUUAUGUAUUAUAUCUUUGUUGCUUUGGCACGCCGCCUUGGGGCGCUGGCUUCGGCUUGCUCGCGCGUGUCAAGGGACCUAAAACUCUGAAUGUUGAUGUUGUCCGAGUACUAUACAAUAGUUAAAACUUUCAACAACGGAUCUCUUGGUUCU